rnacentral:tRNA from 1 species
UAGCUCAGUCAGUUGAGCAUAGCACUAACAACGCUAAGGUUGCGGGUUCGAUUCCCGU